GAUGAACGCUGACAGAAUGCUUAACACAUGCAAGUCGAUGGGGAAGUGGUGCUUGCACCCUGGCAACCAUGGCGGACGGGUGAGUAACGCGUAAGGGACUUACCUGCAGGACUGGGAUAACAGGGGGAAACUCCUGACAAGACCGGAUAAUGUCAUGGAGCUGCAUGGCUUUAUGAUGAAAGGAGACGCCUGCGGAGAGCCUUGCGUCCUAUUAGCUAGUUGGUGAGGUAAUGGCUCACCAAGGCGAAGAUAGGUAGCCGGCCUGAGAGGGUGGACGGCCACAAGGGGACUGAGAUACGGCCCUUACUCCUACGGGAGGCAGCAGUGGGGAAUAUUGGACAAUGGGGGCAACCCUGAUCCAGCAAUUCUGUGUGCACGAAGAAGGUUUUCGGAUUGUAAAGUGCUUUCAGCAGGGAAGAAGUAAGUGACGGUACCUGCAGAAGAAGCGACGGCUAAAUACGUG
rnacentral:rRNA from 1 species